GACGACCGAAAGCCGCGAUACUCGUCCCGCACAGAUGCUCAAACAUCUAGGCUUGCGAGUGGGCUAAGGUCUGAGUAUGCUGCUCCUGGGGUCCAUCCUAUACAUCGACUCUAGCCGGGUCCGCCAUAACAGGCCACGCAACGCACCAGGAAAUCAGCCGACCGAGUGUCGUGUUCCCGACGACGUGCCCGCAGUGGCUCAGUGAUGUUUAUCAUCGCGUCCACUUAGGCAUUGAGGGAUGCUCGUUGCUGGCAUCGGGAGAACGUUGCGGGGCUCGGGCUCAUAGCUACAGAUGCAUCCAUGGUUCCGAUCGUGCAAACGUUGUCCUGGAGGUGCAGGCCCCGCAGGGAAGCCCUUUAGAUUCAUCGUGACCCUUCAUCGCAAGGUGCAGGGACAUGCAGAUGAAGGAAACCGCAGCGGAUGCAUGGCGAUGAGCCCUUCAGUGCACUUCGCGGCGCGUGGAUAACCUCCGCGUAACUCGAUUCAGACUAUUCUUGGUCGUC
rnacentral:RNase_P_RNA from 2 species